AUGGUCCUUCCUUGGAGGACGAUCGUCAAGGCCUGUGCGAGAUCCAGAUCCACCAUGUCGCUCAAAGGCUAUGACGAGGCCUCACUACGUCCGCCGGCGGCAGAUGAUGAUGCGGCGGCGAGCGACUCUGACUGGGACUGGGGGGAGGUCCUCCUGGACAGGGCCGCCUACAUGGCCGACAAGGAGAACCACACCACCGCCGACUGCCAGUUCACCCGGGACCUGGACGGCAAGCAGAUCAAUCUGCGGGUCACCCUUUGCCUCGCCCAGCCGCCCCGCGUCUCCCACUUCUGCUGCCUCGCCCACUGCCCCGCCGAUCACGGCAAAGAGGAAGAAGAAGAAGACACCCCCCGCUUGUUCGUCGGCGAGCCAUGGAUGAUCGCCACGGACGGCGAGCUCGCCCUCUUCACUCUCUGCCACGGAGACGACCGUUGCUCCCGCAUCCGCAUAGGCAACCACGACUACUUCGUCUACUACUCGGCACCCUCGCCGUCGGGGAAGCCGCGGCUCACCCGGCUCCCGCAGCUCAGCGACGGCAUGCUGCCAACCAUGGGAACUCUCUGCUUCUGCGCCAGUGAUAUUGGCAUCAUGCGUUACUGCCGCAGCAACAACGAGGAUGAUGCUGAUGCCUACAGGAUCGCGACGCUCGCCUACGACUACUUCUGCCCGGACCAUUCCGGAUACUACCUGUGCACCUACGACUCCGAGGCCAGUUUCUGGAGCCGCAGGCCGGCUGCUUCUCCGCAGCCGCCGCCGCCGGACGACUACAGCUGCGACAUGGUCAUCGCCAUUGAUGGUGUCAUGGGUUGGGUCGACCUGUGGAGGGGCAUGCUCCUCUGCGACGUGCUCGCCGACGACACCCCCUGCACCCCGCUUUGCUAUCUCCCCCUUCCCAAGCCAAGACAGCCGCGGAACCAUCUCCCUCUGGGCACCGACAUGGCGUACCAUUUCCGGGACAUCGUCUCAGUGAAAGACUCCGGCAUCAUCAGGUUCGUCGACCUUCAGGUCCACGCCGAGCCCGGCCGGCGCUCGCAAACCCCUAGUGGCUGGACGGUGGUCACAUGGACCUUGGAGGGGCUCGAUGGGGGCCUGGGAUUGGAUGACCUGCGUUUCAAGGAGGAGUACCAGCUCAGCUCUCGUGAAAUCUCCAACUAUCGCUUGCCCCAGUCUCUCUUUGUUUGCAAGCCCAUCCUCAGCUCCCACGAAGACGGCGUCCUGUACCUCCUGACCAAUGCCAGCAGCCAGGACGUCGAAGGUGAUUGCUGUUGA
rnacentral:rRNA from 1 species